CCUACGGGAGGCAGCAGUGGGGAAUAUUGCACAAUGGGCGAAAGCCUGAUGCAGCGACGCCGCGUGAGUGAAGAAGUAAUUCGGUAUGUAAAGCUCUAUCAGCAGGGAAGAAAAUGACGGUACCUGAGUAAGAAGCCCCGGCUAACUACGUGCCAGCAGCCGCGGGAAUACGUAGGGGGCAAGCGUUAUCCGGAUUUACUGGGCGUAAAGGGGGCGUAGACGGGAGUGCAAGUCUGGAGUGAAAGGCGGGGGCUGAACCCCCAGACUGCUGUGGAAACUGUACGGCUUGAGUGCAGGAGAGGUGAGUGGAAUUCCUAGUGUAGCGGUGAAAUGCGUAGAUAUUAGGAGGAACACCAGUGGCGAAGGCGGCUUACUGGACUGUAACUGACGUUGAGGCUCGAAAGCGUGGGGAGCAAACAGGAUUAGAUACCCGAGUAGUC
rnacentral:rRNA from 1 species